GCCAGAGUGGCGGAAUUGGCAGACGCGCUGGAUUCAAAAUCCAGUGGCCGCAAGGUCGUGUGGGUUCAAGUCCCACCUCUGGUA
rnacentral:tRNA from 1 species